AACGAACGCUGGCGGCAGGCUUAAUACAUGCAAGUCGAACGGGCGCAGCAAUGCGUCAGUGGCAGACGGGUGAGUAACACGUGGGAACCUUCCUCGUUGUACGGAACAACUCAGGGAAACUUGAGCUAAUACCGUAUAAGUCCGAGAGGAGAAAGAUUUAUCGCAAUGAGACGGGCCCGCGUCGGAUUAGGUAGUUGGUGAGGUAACGGCUCACCAAGCCAACGAAUCCGUAGCUGAUCUGAGAGGAUGAUCAGCCACCACUGGGACGUGAGACACGGCCCACGACUCCUACGGGAGGGCAGCAGUAGGGAAGUCUU
rnacentral:rRNA from 1 species